UACGUAGGGUGCAAGCGUUGUCCGGAAUUAUUGGGCGUAAAGAGCUCGUAGGCGGUCUGUCGCGUCGGCUGUGAAAACUCGGGGCUCAACCCCGAGCCUGCAGUCGAUACGGGCAGACUAGAGUUCGGUAGGGGAGACGUGGAAUUCCUGGUGUAGCGGUGAAAUGCGUAGAUAUCUGGAGGAACACCGAUGGCGAAGGCAGCCCCCUGGGUCAACACUGACGCUCAUGCACGAAAGCGUGGGGAGCAAA
rnacentral:rRNA from 1 species